UACGGAGGACGCGAGCGUUAUCCGGAUUUAUUGGGUUUAAAGGGUGCGUAGGCGGACGCUUAAGUCAGCGGUAAAAUUGCGGGGCUCAACCUCGUCGAGCCGUUGAAACUGGGUGUCCUGAGUGGGCGAGAAGUACGCGGAAUGCGUGGUGUAGCGGUGAAAUGCAUAGAUAUCACGCAGAACUCCGAUUGCGAAGGCAGCGUACCGGCGCCCAACUGACGCUGAAGCACGAAGGCGUGGGUAUCGAACAGG
rnacentral:rRNA from 1 species